rnacentral:rRNA from 1 species
CUGCUGCCUUCCGUAGGAGUUUGGUCCGUGUCUCAGUACCAAUGUGGGGGGUUGACCUCUCAGUCCCCCUAUGUAUCGUCGCCUUGGUGAGCCGUUACCUCACCAACUAGCUAAUACAACGCAUGUCCAUCUCUGACCACCUGAGUUUUCAGCCACCGAAGAUGCCUCCGGUGAUGUUAUGGGGUAUUAGUACCAAUUUCUCGAUGUUAUCCCCCUGUCAAAGGUAGGUUACAUACGCGUUACGCACCCGUCCGCCGGUCGCCGG